CGCGUAGGCGGUAAUGAAAGUCAGAUGUGAAAUACUUCGGCUCAACUGAAGAACUGCAUCUGAAACUUCAUAACUAGAGUACGGAAGAGGGAAAUGGAAUUCCCGGUGUAGAGGUGAAAUUCGUAGAUAUCGGGAGGAACACCAGUGGCGAAGGCGAUUUCCUGGUCUGGUACUGACACUGAGGCGCGAAAGUGUGGGGAGCAAACA
rnacentral:rRNA from 1 species